CUUGAGCCAGCACAUGCAUGUAGGUCACACUGGUGGCUAGGAAUAGCCUCUGAGGCAGAGGAAACACCAGGGACCCCUGUUCAGACAAAGGUGUAGAAUCAGCCCAUUGAUAACAUCUUGAUAUUCUGCUUUCAGAUUAUUUUAUGGGAGCCAUUUGCAGUAGGCAGAAGCACUGGUUUGGAAAAUACUGGCAGGCAAACAUAGUGCUCUAGAAGAUGGAAAUAAUGGUCUAUACCUGGGCCUCUAGAACACCUGGAGACUCUAAGGAUACUGGUGAAUAUUAGCAUACUGGGCUUCAAGGUCUUAUUGCUUAUUUUCUGGAAUUCAACAUCAAUUGAUCUUCUGGAAGUGAGCCACGCACUGGGGUGCAAUCUAGGCCUUGCUCACUGGACUUGGAAGUUCAAACAGCUCCCAUCCAGAAAGGACCAUCUUGGGGGCGACAAACAGGGUGCAGUGGAGGGGUCACAGUCAGAAGAGCCAGUGCAGGCUGCUGGAGAGCAGGAAAGGGGUGGCUCCUGCCUCCUGACCACCAAGAGCACUUUCUGGACUCAGGGAUCUGCGAGUUUGAGUGAGAAUUAGCUUAAGAUUGCAAAAGAUCAUCCCUGUGCAGCUGCCAAGAUUGCUACCUACCAGGGGGCAAGUGUUUUGUAAGUUGGCUGGACACACCUAUGUGUAUUUAAGCACAGCAAUACAAUGAAAAUGAAACCUUACAUCCAACUCCAAUCCAUUCAGCUGAUAAAAAUGGAGCUGCUUUGGUUGAGUUUUGACUGUGGUGACUGAGCAUUUCUCUUGAUUGGCCUUCACCCCAC
rnacentral:lncRNA from 1 species